GCCCGCUUGGCGGAAUUGGUAGACGCAACGGACUUAAAAUCCGUAGCUGCUUCAUCGCGGCGUCCCGGUUCAAGUCCGGGAGCGGGCACCA
rnacentral:tRNA from 1 species